rnacentral:rRNA from 1 species
AUAGCGUAUAUUAAAGUUGUUGCAGUUAAAAAGCUCGUAGUUGAACCUUGGGCCUGGCUGGCCGGUCCGCCUCACCGCGUGCACUGGUCCGGCCGGGCCUUUCCUCCUGGGGAGCCGCAUGCCCUUCACUGGGUGUGCCGGGGAACCAGGACUUUUACUUUGAAAAAAUUAGAGUGUUCAAAGCAGGCCUAUGCUCGAAUACAUUAGCAUGGAAUAAUAGAAUAGGACGUGUGGUUCUAUUUUGUUGGUUUCUAGGACUGCCGUAAUGAUUAAUAGGGAUAGUCGGGGGCAUCAGUAUUCAAUUGUCAGAGGUGAAAUUCUUGGAUUUAUUGAAGACUAACUACUG